rnacentral:lncRNA from 1 species
CAUAAUUCACUACUCUAAGAAAGCAAUUUUCGGAAUUUGGGAAGUUGUUUUUCUUCACAAAUUCUUCAUAAUCUUGAUCUUUAUUUUUAGCCAUGACUCUUUUUGAUCUAUCAAAGACCUGCUGUGAACUUCAUGGGCUUGGGUCCAAUUGAAACAAGAAAACUUUAAACAAUCACACGGCUCGCAACCAGUUGGAGAAGAUGAUGAAUAGUCUUCGUAGAUAUUGCCAUUUUUGUGGCCUUCUUGUUUGUGCUCAGCUAUGGGAUUAUAGUUGUUCAUGAUAUCAGAUGGAUAGGAUUCUUACUCUACGAGAGGUUCUGGUUUCGAACCCUGAUUAUCAAAAAAAUUUGUUAGAAAGCCUUGCUCUAUAGGAUUCUUGCCUUUUAACGAGAAGUCUGAAUUUUGAACUCUGAUUAUGAAAAAAAUUCUGGUAAAAAACGUUUUUGCUAUAAUAAAACCUAAAGCGGAUAACGAACACCGAAUAAAAAAUGAGAAUAAUAUGUAUGUGUAUGUGGGGAGGAAAAGGAUGAGAAGUGGAGAAUGAAUGGGUGUUUACUUAUAAUGUAAGAGUAUUUGUUAGUGCGUGUGCAAUGUGUGUGUGAAAGGGAAAGGGGAGUGAGAAGAGGGCAAGUGGCUGCAUAAAGGAAGAUUUGAGAAAUUAAUAAACCAAUAAGAAGGUUCUUGUGUUUAUAUAAGCAAAAUUUAACAGGAAAAGGAUUGUUGUUUCCUUAUCCACAUAAAUAAAGGAAAGGUGUAUUAAUAUAAACGAGUAGUACAAUGGAAGGUUCCUUUUAAAAAAAACAUAAUUAAUAUCUUUCCAAAAUUUAAUAUGCAAAAGGAUUGUUGUUUCCAUAUCCACAUAAAUAAAGGAAAACGGGUGUAGGAUAAAUACUAAUAUAAACAUAGUCAAAAUAUAAUGACCUUUUAAAAAUAAAAAUAAAAAAAUAAAAAUUAUUUGGUAUUCAUAAGUAUUGUUACAGUUCACAAAGUUAGAACAUAAGAUUUAUGAUUAAAGUUUAAUUUCUCUCCCAUCUUAUCCGUUAGGUAUAGUAGUUCCCACUAGUCGUCAAAGUAAAGACGGGUUGAAACAGUAUUGUUGCUCUGAGUGUCGCAUCUACAACGUGUCGGAUGAUAAGUGGCUGCAUUUAGCAUUCCAUAAAACGUGCUUUAUUGGAUCCACUUGAUUUAAAAUUAAAUUUAGCAUAGGUACAAAAAAUGAAAAGACAUAUAAAACUUUGAUCAAUACUCAUUUAAGUUGAUACAUUGCAUAUAUUUAACUUACAUAUUAAAAGUCUUUUUUAAUAUUUUAAUUUUUGAGCUCAACUAAAUACCUUCAUAUAAUAUUUUAAUUUUUGAGAUUAUUAGUACUAUUUAAGUCAUAGGCGCAAAGGCUAAGACCAUCCUGGUUUUACCUUAUAUGAAGUCAUGCUAGUCUUGUAUAUUUUACUAGCAAAUGCUUCUCUUAUUCUUUUUUCUUCUUCUCAAUUUCUUCCUUUUGUAUGGCGGGGAAAUGGUUUGGUCUAAAUUGAUGCUGACUAAUGCCCAAUUUCAUCUACAUAUAUGAUAGCUACUCUUUUGUUGAAUCUUUUAUUUUCUCUUUCUUUCUUUUUUUCUUUUUGUUUAUCACUUUUUACCGACACAAAACAAUAUCUUGUGAUCUUACCAACCAAAAAGCAUGAGUCAUACAACUCAGUAUAGUCCCACAAAAUAGGAUAUGGGGAGGAUAAUAUGUAGAGAAACUUUACUCCUACACAAAAAGAUAGAAAUGUUGUUUCCAAUCGACUAUCGACUCAGUAAAUCCUUAUCCAAUAACAUAAUCUAAUAUUCUCUUACUAUAUUUUAAACUACCAAAAUCAAAUUUAACUCCCACUAUACCAUUGAAUCAAGAGCUCCAUCUAUUGAACUACUGUUUUCCAAUAAUAAAAGACGAGAGUAGGAAUUAUUCGAAUACAUCAUUUAGCUGAAUCUCUCUGAAGCAGUCCAUAAUCUCAAGCAGCAUUAAACCAGUAAAGAAAAACAUGCAUUUAUUGGAUCGGAUUGCACGUCGCAACAGUUAUAUAGAUGGAUCAGAUUGCACGCCGCGACAAUAGUAGAUAAUAAGGGAUCGGGUUGCGCGCCGCUGCAAUAAUAUUACUGCAUUGUUAUAGAUAUUGUGCUAUCCUUUCAGAUUUCUAUUUAGUUUCUGGUGAAUUUGAUAUGUUCCCCGAAAUAUGUACUCCCUCUCAUUUAAACUACUUAUUCAUGUUUUUUUUCUACCAUAUAUUACAUAAAUGCACAUGUUUAUCUAGAGUCUAGUCCUAGCCUCGUCACUACCUCGCCGGUGAUGCCAGACACUUACUAGCACAUAGGAUCAUUUAUAGUGAUGCUAGAGUGCAGAUACCGGAGCAGCAUUUGGACAGUAGCUUGGGAGCCAGCCUUCAGUCCACAGAGAUUCCGAGGUAGUCCCGCAGGCGUCCGCAGGCCUGACUUUUCUUCUAUCUAUUAUUAUGUUUGUUAUCACUUGUACUCGAGACAGAUUAUGUUUUUUUCUUUCAGACACUUGUAUGUAGUAAUCUUAGAUAGUCCGUGAAUAUUGUGACGCCGAUUUCUGGGUAGAGACACAUAUUGGUAUUUUAAUAUUUAUUUUGGUAUCAUAUUAGUCAAGUCUUUCGCUUAAUUUCAUCUUCCGUUAUUAUAUAAUAUUAAUCACAUGUUAUUACCCGUUGUUAAAAAGGUUUAAAAAUGAAAGAGUUAAAUUUCUAAAUUUUAUAAUUUGUUUAGCUUAUAUAAGUAGACGUUGCCACAACUUUCAAAGAUAGAAAAUCCGAGAUGUGACACAUCAAGAACACCGUUACGUUAAGUUGUAUUAUUUGUACAGUUAAUUAGUUAAGUGGAUAACACUGUAGGAAGUCAGUUAUAUCUACCGUAGGUGUUAGUGUAAACUUUUGAUUUUAGAAGAAAAUAGUGGAAGUUCUUCACUUCUCGCUUAAUUUCUCUCUCUAAAACUCCUCUCGGCUUCUUCUCUAAUUCAUCCUCACAAUUGAAGCUUCCAACUACGAAUGGUAUAAAAACAACAACCAAUGAUAUAAUCUAUUUAAAUAUUGUAUUCAUUAAAUAAUAUAAUAUAAUACAAUACAACACGAUAUAUUAAUGAUAUUGUUAUAAUCAUAGAAAUAUUGUAAUAUAUUUAAAAUUUAAAUCUUGAAAAUAGUGUUUUUUUCUUAUAAACUUUGUUUUAGUUAAAUAGCAUCACAUAAAACAAAAAGAAAUAAAUAAUAUCAGGCUCCGAAAGAAUUUGCCAUUACGAUUAAAUAAAAAGUUAAGCUAAAUUAUUUCAAUAAAAAGGAUCAAUUAUUCUUCUUGAAAUAGACUAAACAAAAGAAUAUAUCACAUAUGGCGGAACCUAUGGUAUUAAAAUUUCAAAAUCGGUAACUACUCCCUUCAUGUUAGAUGAGUUAGUUUGAUUCGGCACGAACUUUAACCAAAAAAAAAAAAACUUUUGAAAGUUUUGAUCUUAAAAGCUUAAGGGCUCAAAUGUUCGUAGGAUCAUGAUAUUUGUGUGUCUAUAAAAGUUUCCCAUUAAAAUAAAUAGAUAAAAAAAAAUUUAAAGUUAAAUUAAUUCCAAAUUUAAAAAUAUAUUAUUUGUUUUGGAAUAGACAUCUAAUAUAAAAUGGGAAGAGUAUAAAAUGCGUCCAAGCUGUGUGAGAUAUAGCUGAUGAAGAGGAUGGUUGGUUUUUUGUUUAGUCACAUGUCUCGCCAUCAAACACUAAACAGUCUUUAUACUGCUUUUCUGGUAAGUCUUGUCAUUUAGCUAUGAUAAGCAAAAAAAGAAUUAAAAAGUGGCUACAAAAUGAUUUAUGAACUCUUCUAAAAUAAUGUCAAGUGAGUGUCUCAUUUUACAAAAAAUACUGUAUUUUUUAGUGCCUAAAAUCUGCCAAGAUUCAUCAAAGCAAAGUUCACUUAACAAAAAAGCUUCUUUCUUUUCAGGUGAGGUACAAUAUAAUAUUCUUUGAGAACAAAAAUGAUUUUGACGUGGAUCUUUAAUGAUUGUUCUUAAACUUUUGCUUUUCUCAUGACUAUCAUGUUUUAUAGGAAGAAACUGAUCAGUGUAAGUCAAGAACUUCCUUCUGAUUUAUAACAGAAGCUAUUUGCAGACGAAGAUAAUUGCUUGUAAUUUCCUUUGUAGCAGUAUAUACUAUGUGGAGUGUAGGACCUAUUUGUUGGUUUUCUUCUUCUUGAGUACUGUGUAAAAAUGGCUGGUAUGCUUUGAAAACAUACAGAAUAUCGGAAGAAAUUUAGAGAGAGAAAGUAGAG